AGGGGCAUCGGGAGGAAAGCUUGCUUUCCUUGCCGGCGACCGGCGCACGGGUGAGUAACACGUAUGCAACCUGCCCUCUUCAGGGGGACAACCUUCCGAAAGGGAGGCUAAUCCCGCGUAUAUCGGUUUCGGGCAUCCGUUAUCGAGGAAAGAUUCAUCGGAAGAGGAUGGGCAUGCGGCGCAUUAGCUAGACGGCGGGGUAACGGCCCACCGUGGCGACGAUGCGUAGGGGUUCUGAGAGGAAGGUCCCCCACACUGGUACUGAGACACGGACCAGACUCCUACGGGAGGCAGCAGUGAGGAAUAUUGGUCAAUGGGAGAGAUCCUGAACCAGCCAAGCCGCGUGAGGGAAGACGGCCCCAUGGGUUGUAAACCUCUUUUGUCGGAGAACAAAACCCGGGACGUGUCCCGGACUGCGUGUAUCCGAAGAAAAAGCAUCGGCUAACUCCGUGCCAGCAGCCGCGGUAAUACGGAGGAUGCGAGCGUUAUCCGGAUUUAUUGGGUUUAAAGGGUGCGCAGGCGGAAGAUCAAGUCAGCGGUAAAAUUGAGAGGCUCAACCUCUUCGAGCCGUUGAAACUGGUUUUCUUGAGUGAGCGAGAAGUAUGCGGAAUGCGUGGUGUAGCGGUGAAAUGCAUAGAUAUCACGCAGAACUCCGAUUGCGAAGGCAGCAUACCGGCGCUCAACUGACGCUCAUGCACGAAAGUGUGGGUAUCGAACAGGAUUAGAUACCCUGGUAGUCCACACAGUAAACGAUGAAUACUAAUUGUUCGGGGAGAAUGAUCCCUGAGUGAUACAGCGAAAGCGUUAAGUAUUCCACCUGGGGAGUACG
rnacentral:rRNA from 1 species